rnacentral:rRNA from 1 species
AACGCUGGCGGCGUGUUCACACAUGCAAGAAAAGAACGAACCUUCGGGUUAGUGGCGGACGGGUGAGUAACGCGUGUUCCUCUGCCCUCAGGAGGGGGAUAACGGUUGGAAACGACCGCUAAUACCCCAUAUGCCGAGAGGUGAAAAGAAAUUCGCCUGAGGAUGAGCUCGCGUCUGAUUAGCUAGUUGGUGUGGUAAUGGCGCACCAAGGCUUCGAUCAGUAGCUGGUCUGAGAGGAUGAUCAGCCACACUGGGACUGAGACACGGCCCAGACUCCUACGGGAGGCAGCAGUGGG